GGAUUCGCUAGUAAUCGCGCAUCAGCCAUGGCGCGGUGAAUACGUUCCCGGGCCUUGUACACACCGCCCGUCAAGCCAUGGGAGCCGGGGGCGCCUGAAGUCCGGGACCGCGAGGACCGGCCUAGGGCGAAACUGGUAACUGGGGCUAAGUCGUAACAAGGUAGC
rnacentral:rRNA from 1 species